rnacentral:rRNA from 1 species
CCUACGGGUGGCAGCAGUGGGGAAUAUUGCACAAUGGGGGAAACCCUGAUCCAGCCACGCCGCGUGAGUGAAGAAGUAAUUCGUUAUGUAAAGCUCUAUCAGCAGGGGAGAAAAUGACGGUACCUGAGCAAGAAGCCCCGGCUAACUAGGUGCCAGCAGCCGCGGUAAUACGUCGGCGGCAAGCGUUAUCCGGAUUUACUGGGUGUAAAGGGAGCGUAGGCGGCAUAGCAAGUCUGGAGUGAAAGGCGGGGGCUCAACCCCCGGACUGCUGUGGAAACUGUAAGGCUGGAGUGCAGGAGAGGUAAGUGGAAUGCGUGGUGUAGCGGUGAAAUGCGUAGAUAUCAGGAAGAACACCAGUGGCGAAGGCGGCUUACUGGACUGUAACUGACGUUGAGGCUCGAAAGCGUGGGGAGCAAACAGGAUUAGAUACCCUGGUAGUC